GUGCUGAAGUUUGCAGGUUCCUGCACCCUUCUGUUGACCCUGAAGUGGGUUGUGCUGCUGAGGGCCAUGAGCAAAGCUUGUGCUACCUUCAAGUGCAAGACACUGACUACAGAGGGAAAAGGGCUGCAGGCAGUCUGAAGCGUUUAGUGGCGAGUGGUCUGCGGGAACACGUGGAGCUGGCAGACUGCAGACUGCACUCUGGGAGAGGACUCCUUACCUGGAGCCACAAGAAUGGCUGAAACACGCGGAAGGAUUCCUAAAGGAUUCCAGUUAUUCAGCAGAAUGAAGCGAGUCUGCCCCUGGGUGCAGGGAAUAGCCAGAGGCAGCAGAAAAUGCCUCCUCGGGGUUGUUCUGUCCCGACAGCAAAAGGUGGUGCGAUGGCAGAGAAAGGAAACGGGGAUUUUUCAGUGAACUGCAGGAAAUCUUCCCAGCAGCUGCUAUUCACCUGUCAGCAAGGAAGGAAUUAAAGAACAAAGAGCUGAGCUCACAACAAAAGUACUGAAAUCAUCAAUCUACUGAAGGGAGAAAAGGGAUUCCAGUUGAAGUGACACCAUUUUUCCACACAGAGGCUAAAGAGCAGUGCUGUUGUGAGACAGAGAAGGGGCUCUGUCACAACACGGUGUGUGGGUAUUCUGUC